AGUUCCUGCAGUACUCCAGGGACCUGCCCCCGACAGAGGAGGACAUGCAGGCGACCCCGGACAGAAAGGCCCAGGAGGUGACCUUAUGGCUGAACCAGGCGUACGACGAGCUGCUGGAGGGAUGGGAUUCCACCGAGGGAGAGAGCUACUCGGAGAGAUACCACGUGAUCCAGACGUUCUUGGUGUCGUUCAACGAGCAGAGGCGCCCGAUCAUGCCCCUCCUGACCGCCAUGAGACGAACUCCCCAACUCAGCGACGAGCAGAGAGCUCUGAGGCAGGCCUGGGACGCGGUCACCGAGAAGCUGCGUGAGUACCGGAUGGAGCUGGAC
rnacentral:lncRNA from 1 species